rnacentral:rRNA from 1 species
CCUGGCUCACGAUGAACGCUAGCUACAGGCUUAACACAUGCAAGUCGAGGGGCAGCAUGGUCUUAGCUUGCUAAGGCCGAUGGCGACCGGCGCACGGGUGAGUAACACGUAUCCAACCUGCCGUCUACUCUUGGACAGCCUUCUGAAAGGAAGAUUAAUACAAGAUGGCAUCAUGAGUCCGCAUGUUCACAUGAUUAAAGGUAUUCCGGUAGACGAUGGGGAUGCGUUCCAUUAGAUAGUAGGCGGGGUAACGGCCCACCUAGUCUUCGAUGGAUAGGGGUUCUGAGAGGAAGGUCCCCCACAUUGGAACUGAGACACGGUCCAAACUCCUACGGGAGGCAGCAGUGAGGAAUAUUGGUCAAUGGGCGAGAGCCUGAACCAGCCCAAUAGCGUGAAGGAUGACUGCCCUAUGGGUUGUAAACUUCUUUUAUAAAGGAAUAAAGUCGGGUAUGGAUACCCGUUUGCAUGUACUUUAUGAAUAAGGAUCGGCUAACUCCGUGCCAGCAGCCGCGGUAAUACGGAGGAUCCGAGCGUUAUCCGGAUUUAUUGGGUUUAAAGGGAGCGUAGAUGGAUGUUUAAGUCAGUUGUGAAAGUUUGCGGCUCAACCGUAAAAUUGCAGUUGAUACUGGAUAUCUUGAGUGCAGUUGAGGCAGGCGGAAUUCGUGGUGUAGCGGUGAAAUGCUUAGAUAUCACGAAGAACUCCGAUUGCGAAGGCAGCCUGCUAAGCUGCAACUGACAUUGAGGCUCGAAAGUGUGGGUAUCAAACAGGAUUAGAUACCCUGGUAGUCCACACGGUAAACGAUGAAUACUCGCUGUUUGCGAUAUACUGCAAGCGGCCAAGCGAAAGCGUUAAGUAUUCCACCUGGGGAGUACGCCGGCAACGGUGAAACUCAAAGGAAUUGACGGGGGCCCGCACAAGCGGAGGAACAUGUGGUUUAAUUCGAUGAUACGCGAGGAACCUUACCCGGGCUUAAAUUGCAGAUGAAUUACGGUGAAAGCCGUAAGCCGCAAGGCAUCUGUGAAGGUGCUGCAUGGUUGUCGUCAGCUCGUGCCGUGAGGUGUCGGCUUAAGUGCCAUAACGAGCGCAACCCUUGUUGUCAGUUACUAACAGGUUCCGCUGAGGACUCUGACAAGACUGCCAUCGUAAGAUGUGAGGAAGGUGGGGAUGACGUCAAAUCAGCACGGCCCUUACGUCCGGGGCUACACACGUGUUACAAUGGGGGGUACAGAGGGCCGCUACCACGCGAGUGGAUGCCAAUCCCCAAAACCUCUCUCAGUUCGGACUGGAGUCUGCAACCCGACUCCACGAAGCUGGAUUCGCUAGUAAUCGCGCAUCAGCCACGGCGCGGUGAAUACGUUCCCGGGCCUUGUACACACCGCCC